AAAAGAGUUCCAUAUUUAAUUGAUGAUUUUGAAACUUCUUCAAGAAAUGGCAACUUCGAUGCAACAAAUACGCUUGUAAGAGAGACACUUGGAUCGCAAUACAAAGAAAGACUAAGAUGUUCUCAACUUCUCAUAAUAGAACAAGUGGCAGAUGCUAAAUCUCUAAUUGGAAGGCGGUACUCUUAUCUAUCAGUACUAAGUGAUUUGAUGAGUGACAUGAAGUCAUGAAUCACUGGCCAUUUGAAGUUGUCGUUGGCCCUAGAGACAAACCCGUGAUUGUUGUCUCAUACAAAAACGAAGUGAAGCAAUUCUCUGUUGUAUAAAUCUCUUCCAUGGUCAUAAACAAGACGAAGAGAAUGUAGGUGUAUAUGGCGUUUAAAGAUGUGACUGUCUUGAAAAAAAUGUAAUAGACAUUUAUGACAAUUAGUUAAUACUCCCCCGUCUCAUAUUAAGUGUCA